GACGAACCGUACGAACGUUAUUCGGAAUCACUGGGCUUAAAGGGUGCGUAGGCGGCGCGACAAGUUGGGUGUGAAAUCCCUCGGCUCAACCGAGGAACUGCGCCCAAAACUGUCGUGCUCGAGGGAGACAGAGGUGAGCGGAACUUAGGGUGGAGCGGUGAAAUGCGCAGAUAUCGGGAAGAACACCCGUGGCGAAGGCGGCACUCUGGGACGGUACUGACGCUGAGACGCGAAAGCGUGGGGAGCGAACAGG
rnacentral:rRNA from 1 species